UUUCUCAAGAACAUAUAUGUCUCAUGUCGUAGCUCCUGAUGGAUGGAACGAUUGGAAUGAUCGCUCUAGAGACCGGAGCGUUUUCUUUGGGGAGUACCGUUGUCUUGGACCUGGAGCAAAUUUUACAUCCAGAGUCUCUUAUGCCAAGCAACUCACGGAUUACCAAGCUAACUCCUACAUGGAUAUUUCCUACAUUGAUGGAAAUGAUUGGCUUCUUAAUUAUUUUCAAAACUCUAUGUUAAUUAACCCUUCAUAUACCUAAUGGAAACAAUAAAGCUCAACUGCUUCAAUAUGUAUGUACACAUCUUCACAAUAAUCAAGUCUUUUUUUUUGUUCA